UCUGAGCACAAUGGGGGACUCCUUAUAGUCCCAGCUACUCAGGAGGCUGAGGCAAGAGGAAAUCCCAAGCCCAGGAGCUCUGGGAUGCUGUGAACUACGCCCAUAGGGUGUCUGCAUUAAGUUCGGCAUCAAUAUGGUGACCUCCCCCCAGGGAGCAGGGGACCAGCCCAAGUCACAAAUGGAGCAAGUCAAAACUUCUGUGCUGAUCAGUAGUGAGAUCGCCCCUGUGAAUAGCCACUGCACUCCAGCUUGGACAAUAGUAAGACCUUGUCUCU
ensembl:misc_RNA Metazoa_SRP Metazoan signal recognition particle RNA